UACAGAGGGGGCGAGCGUUGUUCGGAAUUACUGGGCGUAAAGGGCGCGUAGGCGGCCUUUUAAGUCGAACGUGAAAUCCCCGGGCUCAACCCGGGAACUGCGUCCGAUACUGGGAGGCUUGAAUCCGGGAGAGGGAUGUGGAAUUCCUGGUGUAGCGGUGGAAUGCGCAGAUAUCAGGAGGAACACCGAUGGCGAAGGCAGGUCACUGGGCCGCAACUGACGCUGAGGAGCGAAAGCAUGGGGAGCGAACAGG
rnacentral:rRNA from 1 species